CCCCCAGGGCUGAGGAGUGAGCAGGUACCUCCUCCCUGGGCUGAGGAGUGAGCAGGUACCUCCCCCUGGGCUGAGAAUGAACAGGUACCUCCCCCAGGGCUGAGAAUGAACAGGUACCUCCUGAGGGCUGAGGAACAAACAGGUACCUCCCCCUGGGCUGAGAAUGAACAGGUACCUCCCCCUGGGCUGAGAAUGAACAGGUACCUCCCCCAGGGCUGAGAAUGAACAGGUACCUCCUGAGGGCUGAGAAUGAACAGGUACCUCCCCCUGGGCUGAGAGUGAACAGUUACCUCCCCCUGGGCUGAGGGAUGAACAGGUACCUCCCCCAGGGCUGAGAAUGAACAGGUACCUCCUCCCAGGGCUGAGGAGUGAGCAGGUACCUCCCCCUGGGCUGAGAAUGAACAGGUACCUUCCCCAGGGCUGCCACCCAUCGUGGGAGGCUCUGGCUGUCCAUGUGUUCACGUGUCCAUGUGGCUGCGACGUGGCCGGGAAAGGGGGCGGGUGCUUUUCAGAGUUUAUUUAAUAAAGUCCCUUCCUCCCAUCCCUUUUACUGAUGUUGUACAGAGAAAAAAAAAAAACCCUCAGUGGGCAAAUGAA